CUCCAGCAUGAUUAGUCACGUGGCAUUUAUGACUCAAACUUUUGUGAUCCCAUCAUGUGCAAAGAUGGACUUCUGCGUGUCCUGCGGCAGCCGAUCAACUAAGUGAAUAAGACUUCACUAGGCCUUCAAAAAGCUGUCAGACUCCACCCUGGUGCUGCAUCCUUCUGAUCUAAAGAGAGAAAGAGACACAGAGGACAAUGCAGGACAAACUGCAUGGAACAUCUUGGUCUCCAUGAUCUGGAGCUGUCCAAAUUUAUCCUCAUUGCAUGGAAACGAGCAGCAUGAAGAAGAUAGGCAUACAGGUUCAGAACGACAUGAAGCAUUACAGGGGUCUAAUGCUGGAGACGGUUCAUCUGUAGGCAGAAGAGAAGAGGAUUGUGUCAAACACAGCAGCAGAUGGUGAACAGCAUCAAAAGACCCGCUGGGCUGCACUGCUGUCAUCAGAGAUCAGAGGCCACGACACUGACCAAACGCCAUAAGUGAAGAGCAUAAAGAGUCAAACAAAGCUCAUUUUCUGAGAUGUGCAGAUGGAGGGUCAGAAUCUGGCAUAGAUGCCAUGAAAACAUGGACCCAACUGUCAAAUAGAGACUUCCUGCAGGAAAUUGUACCAUGACACCAAGCAAGCCGUCAGCUGGUUCCAUGAACACAUUUGUGACAUCUGCAGUGGCCUGUACAGUCUGCAGAUCUCAGACCAGUAAAAUAUUGUUGAAAAUGGAAUGAUGUAAUCUGUCAUCAAAAUGUAUUAACCUGCUCUGCCUCUCAAACUGUUUUGUUUGAACUCACUUCAUUAAGCCUUUUUAUUUUUCAGCCUCUCAGUUAUGGCAUGUACCCACUGUCCACUGAUCCAGUCAAUUCCUAAUUCAUAAAACCAAGUGCUACUCUCUAUUUUUCUUGUUAAAUAUUCUAUUUCACUCUGAAAUAUUUCAGACAGGAUUGUAAAUUAUACAA